CCACACACCUGGCAGGGGGAAAUACCAGGACAGUGAAGGUGCUUUUCCCAGGGUGCAACUCAUCCAUUGCAUCCAGCUGUGCGUCACUCCUGCACCUUCUCCAAAUGUGGGAAACGCAACUGCGUAUUUGUACCAGUGGGGAACUGUGUCAUGCUCCUCUC
rnacentral:snRNA from 1 species